GCUACCAUGCAGUCGCACGGUCCGCAAGGACAGUGGCGCACGGGUGAGGAACACGUAGCUGACCUGCCCCGAAGAGCGGGAUAACGGUUCGAAAGGACUGCUAAUACCGCAUAAGCUCACACUGAUUAAAUAGGUGUGAGAAAAGGCGCAAGCCGUUUCGGGAGGGGGCUGCGACCCAUCAGGUAGUUGGUAAGGUAACGGCUUACCAAGCCGACGACGGGUAACGGGUCUGAGAGGAUGAUCCGUCACACUGGGACUGAGACACGGCCCAGACUCCUACGGGAGGCAGCAGUGAGGAAUAUUGCACAAUGGGCGCAAGCCUGAUGCAGCGACGCCGCGUGGGUGAUGAAGGCUUUCGGGUCGUAAAACCCUUUUCUGUGUGACGAGUAAGGACGGUAGCACAGGAAUAAGCCUCGGCUAACUACGUGCCAGCAGCCGCGGUAAAACGUAGGAGGCGAGCGUUAUCCGGAGUUACUGGGCGUAAAGCGCGUGUAGGUGGUUGGAUACGUCUGCUGUGAAAUGUCCCGGCUUAACCGGGAGGGUGCGGCAGAUACGGUCUGACUUGAGGGUGACAGAGGAGCGUAGAAUUCCGGGUGUAGUGGUGAAAUGCGUAGAGAUCCGGAGGAAUACCAGUGGCGCAAGCGGCGCUCUGGGUCACAUCUGACACUGAGACGCGAAGGCAUGGGGAGCGAACGGGAUUAGAAACCCCGGUAGUCCAUGCAGUAAACGAUGCAGACUGGGGUGUGGGGGUACGCAAGUUAUUCUGGUGCCGAAGCUAACGCGCUAAGUUCUGCUGCUGGAAGUACGUCGCAGACUAAACUCAAGGGAUUGACGGGGG
rnacentral:rRNA from 1 species